rnacentral:rRNA from 1 species
UGGGCAACCUGCCCCUAGCUCUGGGAUAACUGCGGGAAACUGUAGCUAAUACCGGAUGUGACACGAGACUGCAUGGUCUUCGUGUGGAAAGAUUUAUCGGCUAGGGAUGGGCCCGCGGUCUAUCAGCUUGUUGGUGGGGUAAUGGCUCACCAAGGCGACGACGGAUAACCGGCCUGAGAGGGCGACCGGUCACACUGGGACUGAGACACGGCCCAGACUCCUACGGGAGGNA